rfam:Triticum aestivum genome assembly, contig: Triticum_aestivum_CS42_TGACv1_scaffold_404593_5BL
UGUGUACUCCCUCCGUUCGGAAUUACUAGUCGCGAAAAUGGAUGUAUCUAGAACUAAAAUACGUCUAGAUACAUCCAUGUCCGCGACAAGUAAUUUGGAACGGAGGGAGUACAUG